ACCCAUGAUCCUUUAAAUACAUUUUACUAUAUAUAGUAGGCCUACAGUUGGUAAAAUGUAUUAAAGGAUACAGGGGAGGGUGUUGAAGGUGUGCGUUUGAAUAUUUCGACAUUUUCCGUCAAGUUACGAAAAAUGCCGAAAAUGUUACCUAACAACAUCGACAUUCCUUCGACGUGACGUCAACAAUGCUUUGACGUAUCAAAGCGAUACUACGUAGAUUCUUUCUAAAAUUGCAAGUUAAAUCGCAGUUUGACAUUUAAAAGCAUAUAAAUUUAUUUUAAAUGUGUAUAAACGUAAAAUAUCUAUGCAUGGAUCUAAUACUAUCUAAUGAAUCUAAUACUGUUCUGUGUACUGACUGUGGCAAUAUUUUCUUCAACUUUUUAGUGGAUACCGAAUAUCAAGAGCCUACGGGGUUGGUGACACGGAUACAGGUUUACUGAUACACACACUGAAUUACCAAAACGUCAACUGGGUCUUAAUUAAUUUUGUCGAGUGGAUUUAACCAUUUCGAAUACACUGAGUCCAUUAUUGGCCUUACGUCGAACGCCAUUCUUAUAUAUCCUUUGGCUAUACUCGAAAAUAGAAGAGACUGCAAUAAUUAUUAAAAUUAUCUGAGCAUUUGAUUUUAGACAAAAAGAAGACAAAAUCAAUAAGAAACAUACAGCUAACAUUAGUUCCGAUAGUAGGUAUAAAACGAACAGCAAAGUAAAGUUUAGUGAUAUACCAGCAGACUAUUUGGUUUAGAGUGUAAGACAAUAAACCCACUGGUGCUAAAUAGUCUAAACGUAACUAAAGGCCAAGGUGAAGGUCAAGUGGUUUAACGUGCACAUUCAGAACAAGCUUUUAUAGCGCACGCAUGUCUCUGACCACUGCCAGCUUCUUCGUCCGAGACAGGAAAGUGACCUGUCGAAAAGGUCAGGUCAGAUCACGUCAUUGGGCUUAACGUGCACAUUCAGAGCAAGCUGUUUUAGCGCACGCCUGUCAUGGGUACAAGUGCCGGCCGGCACUCUACAACUAAGGUACAUCGCACGCCUGAAG